rnacentral:rRNA from 1 species
GACGAACGCUGGCGGCGUGCCUCAUACAUGCAAGUGGAGCGACGAACCAGGGCUUUGCCCUGGGGCUAAGCCGCGAACGGGUGAGUAACACGUGGGUAACCUGCCCCGAAGACCGGGACAACCCGAGGAAACUCGGGCUAAUACCGGAUGUGCUCGCCGCGCAUAAGCGCGGCGCGUAAAGGAUGCUUCGGCCUCCGCUUUGGGCGGGGCCCGCGGCCCAUUAGUUUGUUGGUGAGGUAACGGCUCACCAAGGCUGCGAUGGGUAGCUGGUCUAAGAGGACGGUCAGCCACACUGGGACUGAGACACGGCCCAGACUCCUACGGGAGGCAGCAGUAGGGAAUCUUGCGCAAUGCGCGAAAGCGUGACGCAGCAACGCCGCGUGGGGGAAGAAGGCCUUCGGGUUGUAAACCCCUUUCAGGAGGGACGAAGGUGCGGCGGCGAACAGCCGUCCGUACUGACGGUACCUCCAGAAGAAGCCCCGGCUAACUACGUGCCAGCCGCCGCCGUAAGAC